GACGAACGCUGGCGGCGUGCUUAACACAUGCAAGUCGAACGGGAUGAUUUAGAAGCUUGCUUUUCGAGAAUCUAGUGGCAAACGGGUGAGUAACACGUAGACAACCUGCCGACAGGAUGGGGACAACAUUCCGAAAGGAAUGCUAAUACCGAAUGAAGUCAGAGGAGGGCAUCCUCCUCUGAUGAAAGAUGGCCUCUGAAUAUGCUAUCACCUGUUGAUGGGUCUGCGUCUGAUUAGCUAGUUGGUGAGGUAACGGCUCACCAAGGCGACGAUCAGUAGCCGGUCUGAGAGGAUGAACGGCCACAUUGGGACUGAGACACGGCCCAGACUCCUACGGGAGGCAGCAGUGGGGAAUCUUCCGCAAUGGGCGCAAGCCUGACGGAGCAACGCCGCGUGAGUGAAGAAGGUCUUCGGAUCGUAAAGCUCUGUUGACGGGGACGAACGUGCGGGGUGCGAAUAGCGCUUUGUAAUGACGGUACCUGUCGAGGAAGCCACGGCUAACUACGUG
rnacentral:rRNA from 1 species